CGUACCAGUCGGUCAUCGCCGAAGCAAA
rnacentral:piRNA from 1 species